rnacentral:rRNA from 1 species
CCAGCUGUAAACGAUGGACACUAGGUGUUGGAGGUUCGAAUCCUUCAGUGCCGCAGUUAACGCAAUAAGUGUCCCGCCUGGGGACUACGGUCGCAAGACUGAAACUCAAAGGAAUUGACGGGGGCCCGCACAAGCGGUGGAGCAUGUGGUUUAAUUCGAUGCAACGCGAAGAACCUUACCGAGACUUGACAUCCCGUGACCAUCUAUGAAAGUAGAGUAUAGCUUCGGCUACACGGAGACAGGUGG